UACGUAGGUGGCAAGCGUUGUCCGGAUUUACUGGGCGUAAAGAGCGCGCAGGCGGUCGUUCAAGUCGCGUGUGAAAGCCCCCGGCUCAACUGGGGAGGGUCACGCGAUACUGAUCGACUCGAAGGCAGGAGAGGGUAGUGGAAUUCCCGGUGUAGUGGUGAAAUGCGUAGAUAUCGGGAGGAACACCAGUGGCGAAGGCGGCCGACUGGGCCGUCUCCGACGCUGAUGCGCGAAAGCGUGGGGAGCAAACAGG
rnacentral:rRNA from 1 species